AUGCUGGGGUCUCCAUACAUCCAGACAGCCCUGGUAGACCUUCUCUGCUCCCCUUCUGCACACCAACAAAACCAAGCCUUGAGCAGAAAGGAAUGGCUGUCUUGUGUCUCCUUGUUGGAGGCCAGUGAUGAUGGGAAGAGCUGGCAGCCUGUGCAGGCUGACAUGAGAAAUAGUUUGCUGAGCCCUGCCGUUGAGAUAAGGACAAAGGGCCAGGACCAGCUCUGGGGGAAGCGUGAGUUGCUUGCACAAGGGCCCGCAGCGCAGCGAGAGAUGGAACAGCAGAGGGAUCAAGGCAGAAUACGGUGCUUUGUUGUGUGUGUUUGGCUAGCCAUGGUUAUGCCUGGUCAAAGGAAGGUGGAGACACAACUCGUCCCUCAUAAAACUUAG
rnacentral:lncRNA from 1 species